UCCAAGUGUACCAGGGCUUGAGUCCCUAGCUGCUAGGAUCCAGGCUCCUCCUGAGUAAACCAAGCAAUGUCACUUUUUGCCAGCUAAGAAAUUGGUCAAAAAGGAGAUUGCUUUAGCUGAAAGAGAAGAGCUUAAAAUACAAGCAGACCAGAAUGGGAAAAAAAGUUUGGUGGAAACUGUGGAUGCUGAUUCAAUGAAAACACUAAGAAUGGAUGGAUAGAAAUGCUGUCUCAAUUUAGAAAAGCAACUACACAUCAUGAUAUUCUGUGAACCACUGGCUCAUCUAUUUGUUUGAUUUUUUUUUCUUAUUAUUUACUGUAAGUUAUGUGAACAUAAAUAAACCCCACUGUUCAUAGCCA
rnacentral:lncRNA from 1 species